UCCAGAAGUCACAAUUGGAGUAAUUCCAAGUUCCAUGACUGUACCACGGUUUGAGGCAAGAAUGACACGCAUCCAGUAAAAAGGAUCCGCGCCAGUUGUAGAGUGUAUGCCAUAAAGAGGGAGCUGACUGCAAACCAGAAAAAUAGCAAGCGCAAUUACAGUAUAGAUGACCUUCUCUUUGAAUUGAACCUUCCUGUCAGCACUCUGAACUUCAGGUAGGAAUGAGAGAAAUGGUUUCACAAGGUGCAGCACUCUGAAUCCUCCUCCCAUUGUUCACUAUUAACAGAAUUAUCUCUAAGCAGCGACGAUCUGGAGAUGUCCGUGGACUGUUAUUCGCUCGAUUUCUCCGUCGAGCUAUGCUUCUAUUUGUAGGGUUUUGACCAUGAGAGAGAGGAUAGGGAGAGAAGGGGCGGAUCUGACGGAUUUAUGUGUAAGCGUCACCAGUUAACAGAGAUGGAGAACGCGUGAC